UUUCCGUAGGUGAACCUGCGGAAGGAUCAUUAUCAUGUAAUUCAGUCCCCUUGGCUGUGUUAUAUAUAUACCCACUCUGUGUACCUUCUCCUGUUGCUUCCGCUGGGUGUGUAAUUCGCCCGGCGGAAGGGUAAAAAUAACCUCUGAGUGUUGAUGAAAACUCUGUCUGAACCGAAUAGAAAGAAAAAUGUUAAAACUUUCAGCAACGGAUCUCUUGGUUCUC
rnacentral:misc_RNA from 1 species